AGAGUCAAUUGCCUUUUACCAGUUGGCUGCUUCCUGAGAAGAAUCACAUGGCUGGUUUCCCUCAUGUUCUACCCGACUCAAGUUCGUGGCCCAAGUCCCACCUGACUGUUGUAGACACCUGUUUAAAUGUGGUACUCUGUUCACUCAGAUGGGGAAAACCUAUGCCUUUUAGUCUCAAUGAGUUUGACCAAUGCCUCUGUCCGAGUGUUCCUGUACGGAUCCCAUGUGUGCCCCAUGAAAUGAGUUAAGUCAACACCCACCCUGUUCUUUAUUUUGGAAGUGUCUCGCUACUUCCAGAAAAUCUGUGAGAUUGGGGAAUUGAGAAUUUCUCUAUUACUAGUAUACUUACAUUCUGUACUUCUCCUCAUGGUAUCAGUUUAGCUGUUUACUUUGGAAACUAGAAAUGGGCUCUUUUAACUUGGCCUUUAAUGUUAUUUGCAUAUCUAAGAAGAGUAGCUGUGUCCACCCCAGUCCACGGUUCAUUUGUUGGCGCUUUUUCUCAUCCCUCCCUGAUCUCCUUAACUUGUCUGUUUUAUGGCACUUACUAUAAUCAGCCUUGCACUAGAGCUUCGCCCUCCCCACCCUCUCCCACCUGUUAGAUUGUGAGCUCUUAUAAGACAGGGGUGACCCUUCAUGUCUGAUUCCCCUACCAGAUCUAGCACAGUGCCUUGCAUCAAGUAGAUUUCAAUAAAUAUAUGUUAAAUGGCAUUGGUCUUCCUUGACUUAUUUUGUCAGAGUUUCGGUUAACAGCUCUUCCCUUGCUCCUUUCUCUGCCCUCUAAAGUUCUUGCCCCACCCCCCACCCCCACUUACUGGAUGCCUGGAGGGGACAGGAGGUGCCCCGAUGAGGAAGGGCUGGUUUCCCUGGACAUUUGAGCUGUCCCUUGGCAGAAGAGGCCUGUCAUUCAGCCAGGUCCCUUCUCCCACCCUGGCUCGGGCUCUCCUCAGAGUCUGAAUUCCGGGUGGGAGCAGAACACCAGGCUGGACCCUGAGCUCCUCCCUUAGGGACCAGAAAUAGAGUGACGGAAGUGGCUACUAGGACUUGAGGAUCGGCCAGCCUCUCUGGUCUAGGUGAGGGUGGGAGUGAGGAGGUCAGUCCUCUUGACCAGUGGCUGGCCCUCUCUCCAAUGAUCAUUGCCUCCAGAAAGGCAGGUAGUGAGGACAGGCCCCUGGAUUCCUGACCCCCCUCACCUGCCAAAUACAAACAAGGCUCACCUGUGGAGUCAGCUGCCCAGUCCCAGAAGGGCAAGCACCCAGGAGCCCCACGAGCACUUGGGUUGGGAUCUCAAGGGCCAUGGUGUGCUGUAACAGCAAGGAGAAACUGUUGGAAAGGAACAUGCCUUCCCCCACCAUCCCAAUCUCCCUGGAGGUGCCCAGGAAAGACCCAUGUCAUCUUUCCCCCAGGGUCCCAUCCUCAUCACUCUAUCAAUUAAUUUUCCACCCCAAAUGCAGCUUCUUGGCAGGUGGUGGUGAUACGACCACACCCCACUGCCAUCCCAGCCAUCUCUGCUCACAAGCCAGUUGUUUGGAGAGAACCAUUCAUCUGCUUUGCUGGUUUCAUGAUGUACUUGCCACUGAGAAGUCCACCUAUGUUUCCCUCAAACAUGAGCAAGCUCUGUUCAGGCAAACUUCAGUUAUGCAAAAGCCAAGGCCACAGAUCUGUUUGGACAACUAACACUGGGCCCAGAGGGUAGGGGAUAUCCUGGGGCUUCUUGUAGGGGGUUGAGAAUCUUCCUUUCUGACCCUCUCCUAGGGCCCCCUGACUUCUGGAGCCCUGUAGCCUCUCCAACAACACCCUCCUCUGAGACCCCCAAUAACUCUUUUGCUUACCUGAGAGUUGACAGUCCCCAGACGCUCACCUCCCGGGCCAGGCUCCUGCCCACAACCAUCUGCCCCAACCCACUUCUAUCCUGCUCACAUCCCACCUGGGAGGGGCCGCUAGCCUUGUUGUAGUCUGUUUAGGCUGCUAUCACCAAAACGCCAUCAAGGUGGCUUAUAAAACAACACUCAUUUAUUGCUCACAGUUCUGGAUGCUGGGAAAUCCAAGACCAAGAUGCUGGCAGAGCCAGCAUCAGGCGAAGACCUGCUUCCUGCUUCAUAGAUGGCUGUCAUCUGGCUGUGUCUUCACAUGGCGGAAGGGUGAGCAAGGUGCCUAAGGCCUCUUUUAUAAGAGUGCUAAACCCAUUCAUGGGGACUCUUCCCUCAUGACCCAAUCACCUCCUAGAGGCCCCACCAACUGAUGGGGUGACAUUGGGGGAUAGGAUCUUAAUGUAUGAAUUUUGGGGGACACAGACAUUCAGAGGAGAGGGUACUUGGGCUUCUCAUAGUUUCAUGCACUUAUUAGUUUGAUUUAUACAUUGGUGAGCUGUUUCAAUUACUUCCCACUGAGCCCAUAAUAUUGCUCACAUAUUUUAAAUAUUGCUCAUAUAUUUUAAAAUAUAUAAUAAAAAGGACCCAUCGGGGCUGGGCCGGCCCGGCUCCCUGGGGCCCCGGCCUCCAAGUCCAUGGCUGUGCCCAUGAUGCUGCUCAACCUCAUGGACCAGCUGGGGGAGGCUGACGAGGAGCUGGCGGGCAACUACACGGAGCUGGGGGACUGGUGCGCCCAGAGGAUCCUGCAGCAUGUCCAGGACAGCCACUUUGGUGGUGGUAGCAGGCUAUCCUGCUUGGAGAUGGUCGGACUUGGCAGGUGCCUGGAGGAUGAACUUCAGGAAGGUGUGGGAGAUGCAUUUGGCCAACUGUCACUAUCAGGGAGUGAACUUCUAAAAUUCAAGAAGAAUUUGGAACUCUGUCUCCGAAUGCUACUGUUAUUAUAAUUUUGUCGUCCACUUUCACCCUCCGACUGUCAGGGUCGGCCUUCCGCGACAGGGGCCAUGGUCUCAGCUGCCGGCACCUGUUUCUCGGGUUCCCGCGCCAUGUGCUCUCAGGCUUUACGCCGGCAGCUGCAUGAUGCCUAACGCUUUUCAAGCAGCCCACUGGACUUCGGAAGAAAAGUUUCAGUAGCAUGUUUUCCAGAAGGAACUUUGUACCUAGGAUAAACAGUUUGGUCAAAUCUCAGAAAAUCUUUGUGUUUAGUUACUAUAGCAGUCCUUGUGACAGCAACUAUUUCCCUAAAGCACGUUAUAAAGUCUGGUGUGAAGUGUGUUUAGUGGAGAUCAAAUGUGUUUUAAGAGCCUUGUUUUUCCCUGAAACUUGGUUCCUUUCUUCAUGUGUUACAUUCUUUAUUAUUUCAAGAUCAGAGAUGAUUUAUCAAAGAAACAGUUGUAUACAAGUUGGGAGAUAGUGCCUCCUGGAAGUUCUGCUUUAUUUCAUCCUGGCAAAAAUGAGAAUUCUCCAUAGGACUUUUUCCAAAAACACUCACGGCCUACGUGGAAUCAAACAACUGAAUGAUGCAUCCCAUUCUGAAAGUCGUUCUACUCAGUGCUACGAUGGGGUCCUCAGGGAAGUGGAGGGUCCCGGAGCAGCUGAGUGAAACUGAGGGCAGGAGCGAGGGGGCCAGAAACCGAGGGCACGUUAAAAAGCAGGAAACCCAAACCACUAUGCGAGUCUACCAAACCAGCGAGUGAGGAAUUAUUCUGUGUCAUAUUAUUAUUAACAACACAUAAACACUCUCUAUUUUAUAUGCUUUUAAAUUUAUUGUUAAAUACACAAGCAAGACAUGAAUAUAAUUCUCAUUUUAAAAUAUUAAACAAAUAGGAAUAAAAUAAAAGCUCCUUUUAGCCAUUCUCUAGGCCCCUCUCAAUUCCCCCUUUCCCGGAAGAUCCUUCCCGACAUUUCCUGCAUGUUUACAUGCAUAUAUGUAGGGACACACUGGAGAGUUUCUCAUACUCUAUGCUUAUUCUGCAAGUUGCUCUCUCUCCCAAUUCCCCCUUUCCCAGAAGAUCCAUAAGGAAGCGUGCCUGGGAGAGAGUUUUUAAUUAUAGCUCUGUACUCCACAGCAUGGAUAUAGCAGACUUUGUUCCCAGCUUCCCCUCCUCGGUGCACAUUUAGGGGUCCUGCGGGGUUUCGCUGAUGGGCACAAUGCCGCAUGGACACUCUUGCCCCAUCACACACACACACACACACACACACACACACACACGAACACUGCUGUAAGACUGAGUCAGGGAGGGCAGCGCUAGAUGGCUCCAACCAAGAGACCACCAAUGAUGCAGCUAGUGGCUUAGAGAAGACUGAACAUUGUUACUCGCUCUCAUAAGGGUCAGCCGAGCACUCCAGGUUGAAGGGACAUCUCUGUUCCACGCCGUCACUCAGGAAGCCCAGUGCUUCUCAAACCAUUUGUGGUGAAAGACCAGUUUAUGUCCACCCACCCACCCCCAAUCCAUUUUGCCCAAGGCUUUUGUAAAAUGCAAUAAA